rnacentral:rRNA from 1 species
GAAGGUGUGCUGUGAGGCAUGCUGGAGGUAUCAGAAGUGCGAAUGCUGACAUAAGUAACGAUAAAGCGGGUGAAAAGCCCGCUCGCCGGAAGACCAAGGGUUCCUGUCCAACGUUAAUCGGGGCAGGGUGAGUCGACCCCUAAGGCGAGGCCGAAAGGCGUAGUCGAUGGGAAACAGGUUAAUAUUCCUGUACUUGGUGUUACUGCGAAGGGGGGACGGAGAAGGCUAUGUUGGCCGGGCGACGGUUGUCCCGGUUUAAGCGUGUAGGCUGGUUUUCCAGGCAAAUCCGGAAAACUAAGGCUGAGGCGUGAUGACGAGGCACUACGGUGCUGAAGCAACAAAUGCCCUGCUUCCAGGAAAAGCCUCUAAGCAUCAGGUAACAUCAAAUCGUACCCCAAACCGACACAGGUGGUCAGGUAGAGAAUACCAAGGCGCUUGAGAGAACUCGGGUGAAGGAACUAGGCAAAAUGGUGCCGUAACUUCGGGAGAAGGCACGCUGAUAUGUAGGUGAAGCGACUUGCUCGUGGAGCUGAAAUCAGUCGAAGAUACCAGCUGGCUGCAACUGUUUAUUAAAAACACAGCACUGUGCAAACACGAAAGUGGACGUAUACGGUGUGACGCCUGCCCGGUGCCGGAAGGUUAAUUGAUGGGGUCAGCGCAAGCGAAGCUCUUGAUCGAAGCCCCGGUAAACGGCGGCCGUAACUAUAACGGUCCUAAGGUAGCGAAAUUCCUUGUCGGGUAAGUUCCGACCUGCACGAAUGGCGUAAUGAUGGCCAGGCUGUCUCCACCCGAGACUCAGUGAAAUUGAACUCGCUGUGAAGAUGCAGUGUACCCGCGGCAAGACGGAAAGACCCCGUGAACCUUUACUAUAGCUUGACACUGAACAUUGAGCCUUGAUGUGUAGGAUAGGUGGGAGGCUUUGAAGUGUGGACGCCAGUCUGCAUGGAGCCGACCUUGAAAUACCACCCUUUAAUGUUUGAUGUUCUAACGUUGACCCGUGAUCCGGGUUGCGGACAGUGUCUGGUGGGUAGUUUGACUGGGGCGGUCUCCUCCUAAAGAGUAACGGAGGAGCACGAAGGUUGGCUAAUCCUGGUCGGACAUCAGGAGGUUAGUGCAAUGGCAUAAGCCAGCUUGACUGCGAGCGUGACGGCGCGAGCAGGUGCGAAAGCAGGUCAUAGUGAUCCGGUGGUUCUGAAUGGAAGGGCCAUCGCUCAACGGAUAAAAGGUACUCCGGGGAUAACAGGCUGAUACCGCCCAAGAGUUCAUAUCGACGGCGGUGUUUGGCACCUCGAUGUCGGCUCAUCACAUCCUGGGGCUGAAGUAGGUCCCAAGGGUAUGGCUGUUCGCCAUUUAAAGUGGUACGCGAGCUGGGUUUAGAACGUCGUGAGACAGUUCGGUCCCUAUCUGCCGUGGGCGCUGGAGAACUGAGGGGGGCUGCUCCUAGUACGAGAGGACCGGAGUGGACGCAUCACUGGUGUUCGGGUUGUCAUGCCAAUGGCACUGCCCGGUAGCUAAAUGCGGAAGAGAUAAGUGCUGAAAGCAUCUAAGCACGAAACUUGCCCCGAGAUGAGUUCUCCCUGACUCCUUGAGAGUCCUGAAGGAACGUUGAAGACGACGACGUUGAUAGGCCGGGUGUGUAAGCGCAGCGAUGCGUUGAGCUAACCGGUACUAAUGAACCGUGAGGCUUAACCUUACAACGCCGAAGCUGUU